rnacentral:rRNA from 1 species
GAUGAACGCUGGCGGCGUGCCUAAUACAUGCAAGUCGAGCGAACAGACGAGGAGCUUGCUCCUUCGACGUUAGCGGCGGACGGGUGAGUAACACGUAGGUAACCUACCUAUAAGACUGGGAUAACUUCGGGAAACCGGAGCUAAUACCGGAUAAUAUUUCGAACCGCAUGGUUCGAUAGUGAAAGAUGGCUUUGCUAUCACUUAUAGAUGGACCUGCGCCGUAUUAGCUAGUUGGUAAGGUAACGGCUUACCAAGGCAACGAUACGUAGCCGACCUGAGAGGGUGAUCGGCCACACUGGAACUGAGACACGGUCCAGAGUCCUACGGGAGGCAGCAGUAGGGAAUCUUCCGCAAUGGGCGAAAGCCUGACGGAGCAACGCCGCGUGAGUGAUGAAGGUCUUCGGAUCGUAAAACUCUGUUAUUAGGGAAGAACAAACGUGUAAGUAACUGUGCACGUCUUGACGGUACCUAAUCAGAAAGCCACGGCUAACUACGUG